rnacentral:misc_RNA from 1 species
GAUGAAGAACGCAGCGAAAUGCGAUACGUAAUGUGAAUUGCAGAAUUCAGUGAAUCAUCGAAUCUUUGAACGCAUAUUGCGCUCUUUGGUAUUCCGAAGAACAUGCUUGUUUGAGUAUCAGUAAACACCUCAAAGUCUUUUUUUUUUCUUGAAGAAAAGAUCUUGGACUUGAGCAAUCCCAACUCUUCUUUCAGAAGAGGCGGGUUGCUUGAAAUGCAGGUGCAGCUGGACAUUCUCCUGAGCUAAAAGCAUAUUCAUUUAGUCCCGUCAAACGGAUUAUUACUUUUGCUGCAUCUAACAUAAAGGGAGUUUGACCAUUUUGGCUGACUGAUGCAGGAAUUUCACAAGAGUCUUCAAAACGCUCUUGUUAAACUCGAUCUCAAAUCAAGUAAGACUACCCGCUGAACUUAAGCAUAUCAAUAAGCGGAGGA